UACGGGGGGAGCAAGCGUUGUUCGGAUUUACUGGGCGUAAAGGGCGCGUAGGCGGCCACCGCAAGUCGACUGUGAAAUCUCCGGGCUUAACCCGGAAAGGUCAGCCGAGACUGCGGGGCUAGAGUGCAGAAGGGGCAACUGGAAUUCUCGGUGUAGCGGUGAAAUGCGUAGAUAUCUGGAGGAACACCGGUGGCGAAGGCGGCAUCCUGGACCGGUAUUGACGCUGAGGCGCGAAAGCCAGGGGAGCAAACGGG
rnacentral:rRNA from 1 species